GCAGAGCCUGCCAGCCACUUACAGGGAGGGUUUGGUCCAGGAAUUCGGGUCUGAGGGUGGUGGAGGCCCUCCCCCCUCCCACAGCUCUGGUCCCCUUCAAGCCUGCAGCUGCUGAGAUACAUGGCUGACAGGAGCCUUCCCUCUCCUCCCCACCCAGGUCAACCAAAGCUGGAGCAAAGAACGCAUCCUGAACGCGCACCUGUGCAAAGAGGACUCGAGCGCUGGUGGGAGGACUGUCGCACCUCCUACACCUGCAAGAGCAACUGGCACAAAGGCUGGAAUUGGACCCCAGGGAUUAAUGUGUCCGGCCGGGGCCCUCUGCUGCACCUUUGAGUCCUGCUUCCCCACUGCAGCCGCCCUUUGUGAGGGCCUCUGGAGUCACUCCUACAAGGUCAGCGACUACAGCCGAGGGAGCGGCCGCUGCAUCCAGAUCUGGUUUGACUCGGCCCACGGCAACCCCAACGAGGAGGUGGCGAGAUUCUAUGCUGCGGCCAUGAAGGCUGGGGCCCUGUCCUGUGGGAUUUUGGGACCGUGAACAUUGGUUCCUGAUCCAAGAAGGGUCCCCUGGGGUUCCUCCGACAACUCAUUCUAAUAGACAGAUCCACGUGU